GACGAACCGUGCGAACGUUAUUCGGAAUCACUGGGCUUAAAGGGCGCGUAGCGGGCCGCCAAGUCAGAGGUGAAAGCCCCCAGCUCAACUGGGGAAGUGACCUUUGAUACUGGCGGUCUCGAGGGAGAUAGGGGCGGUGCGGGAAACUUCCGGUGGAGCGGUGAAAUGCGUAGAUAUCGGAAGGAACACCGGUGGCGAAAGCGGCGCGCUGGAUCUCUUCUGACGCUGAGG
rnacentral:rRNA from 1 species